rnacentral:snRNA from 1 species
UGGAUCCGUAACUUCGGGAAAAGGAUUGG